UAAUUAAAUAUAGUUGCCGUAGACAGUAGGAGCUUAUGAGCUUAAAUAUUCCUACCGAGGUGAGAAUUUUGAUUGAUUAGAUAAUUUAUAUAACUAGGAAAUCAAUGUCUCUCUGUGUCUGCGGAGAGACUUUUUAUAUG
rnacentral:sRNA from 1 species